UACGGGGGGGGCAAGCGUUGUUCGGAAUUACUGGGCGUAAAGGGCGCGUAGGCGGUUUGCUAAGUUGGAUGUGAAAACUCUGGGCUUAACCCAGAGCCUGCAUCCAAAACUGGCAAACUUGAGUACUGGAGGGGAAAGCGGAAUUCCUGGUGUAGCGGUGAAAUGCGUAGAUAUCAGGAGGAACACCGGUGGCGAAGGCGGGUCUCUGGGCCGAUACUGACGCUGAGGAGCGAAAGCGUGGGGAGCGAACAGG
rnacentral:rRNA from 1 species